AUGAUAAAAAUUAGUGGCAGACGGGUGAGUAAUGCAUAGGAAUCUACCUAGUAGUAUGGGAUAGCCACUAGAAAUGGUGGGUAAUACUGUAUAAUCCCUGCGGGGGAAAGAUUUAUCGCUAUUAGAUGAGCCUAUGUUAGAUUAGCUAGUUGGUAGGGUAAAGGCCUACCAAGGCAGUGAUCUAUAGCUGGUCUGAGAGGAUGAUCAGCCACACUGGAACUGAGAUACGGUCCAGACUCCUACGGGAGGCAGCAGUGGGGAAUAUUGGACAAUGGGCGCAAGCCUGAUCCAGCUAUGCCGCGUGAGUGAGGAAGGCCUUAGGGUUGUAAAACUCUUUCAGUGGGGAAGAUAAUGACGGUACCCACAGAAGAAGUCCCGGCAAACUCCGUGCCAGCAGCCGCGGUAAUACGGAGGGGGCAAGCGUUGUUCGGAAUUAUUGGGCGUAAAGGGCAUGUAGGCGGUUCGGUAAGUUAAAGGUGAAAUGCCAGGGCUUAAC
rnacentral:rRNA from 1 species